UACGUAGGGCGCAGGCGUUAUCCGGAAUUAUUGGGCGUAAAGAGCUCGUAGGCGGUUUGUCGCGUCUGCCGUGAAAGUCCGGGGCUCAACUCCGGAUCUGCGGUGGGUACGGGCAGACUAGAGUGAUGUAGGGGAGACUGGAAUUCCUGGUGUAGCGGUGAAAUGCGCAGAUAUCAGGAGGAACACCGAUGGCGAAGGCAGGUCUCUGGGCAUUAACUGACGCUGAGGAGCGAAAGCGUGGGGAGCAAACAGG
rnacentral:rRNA from 1 species